rnacentral:rRNA from 1 species
UACGUAGGGUGCAAGCGUUGUCCGGAAUUAUUGGGCGUAAAGAGCUCGUAGGCGGUUUGUUAAGUCUGUUGUGAAAGCCCCGGGCUCAACCUGGGAAUGGCAAUGGAUACUGGCAGGCUAGAGUGCGGUAGAGGGUAGUGGAAUUCCCGGUGUAGCGGUGAAAUGCGUAGAGAUCGGGAGGAACACCAGUGGCGAAGGCGGCUACCUGGACCAGCACUGACACUGAGGCACGAAAGCGUGGGGAGCAAACAGGG